rnacentral:lncRNA from 1 species
AUUGAAAAGAAAACAAACGAUUACAAUAAUCUUCGCAUACAUACAACUUUAAAAGAAAUUAGCCAGGCUAAAGUAUGCAGUGGAUAGUACAAAAAUCAUUUUAACCUGAGCAAUGAUAUUUUCUUCAUGUCUAUGCAGUACUGCUUACCUGUAGUUCUCAAAGUGUGGUCCUCAGACCAGCAAGAUCAGCAUCGCCUCAGUUCUUGUGAGAAAUGCACAUUCCUGGCCCCACCAGAGACCUACUGCAUGGAAAACUCUGGGGUCGGCAAUCUGAGUGCUAACACUCCCUGCAGGUGUUUGGUUCUCUUGUCUGCUAAGGUCUAAGAAAGCUCUGACCUAGUACAGUCCUUAAAUCAGGGGACAUCAUAAACAUCAGUGAAUGGACAAAGUUCUGGUUUAGCAGCACUGGCUCCCCAGAAAUU